GGACUGGAGAAACAGAAGAAGGGGCUAUUAUUGCAACCUGAGUGUUGGAGAAGGGGUCACACAAAAUUUUCUUCAGUGUUAAUAAUGUUGCUGGUUCAAGAAGCACAGUGUGAGAAGUAUUGAAUUAAAGAAUGAGCCUGGAAGAACAGAUAAGCAGAAGGAUGAGCAAACACGGAAGAGGAGAGGAGGAAGAGGGAAGACUGAGACAAUGUGCAGCAAGGCAGAGGAAGCAAAGAGGAAAAGGAUGCAAUUCUUCUGAAGUGAGUGGCCAAAGGACCUGUUCCAGAAUAUGGAUGCCCAACAUUUAAUUUGAGGUUUUUGUUUUUGUUGGCAUUUUGAGAUGUAAGCCUCAUCUCCAUUUCUUCUUCCCUUCUUUCCAAAACCCAACACAACUUCUUUAACGUAACCUACUCUCACAAAGGCAUGUGUUUGUGUACCUCUUACUGCUGUUUUCAUUUUUGCUAUUCUGCAUUUGUGUGUGUGUUUGCAAUUCAGGGAAGGGCUAAUUUUCUGUAAUUGAGUAAACUGGGUUUGGGGUAAAUGUUAUAUACAAGUAAUCUGGGAUGGAGGGUGCAAACAUCAAGGCAGGAAUGUAAUUUGUUAGGAUUUUGCAUCAAUUUGGAGGAGAAAUUGAAUUUCCAUGAACCAUACAUUUGGAGACUGGAUCCAAAAUUAAGUAGGUCUUAAAGAGAGUACUGGAUGUAGUUCCUGCCCUCAUGAAACUAGUGGAGAGAUGACAAAUGAAAAUCAAUGUGGCCAAGAUACUUGCGGCUCAGUGAAUAUCCACGUAUUCCUGCUUAUUUCCAACCUCUCUUGUAAUUUGGUAUGGCUGUAUGGCCAAUUCUAGAAAAUAGUCUAUGAAAGAACAUUUCAGUUAACAUUUUCUGACCAAAGCAUAUAAAAGUCAGUGUGAAAAUCUGUAGCUCUCUUCGCCAUGAAAGCCACAUGUUAUGGAGAGUGUGGCUACCAUGUCCAAGGUGUCUGAGUCCCUGAGCUAUCAUGUGAAAACAGUUGCCAAGGUAUCUGAGUCCCUGAGCAGUCAUGUAAAAACAGUUGCCCUAAAGAGUCACCAAGUCCACAGACGACUUAGCAUAAUGGAGAAAUAUAAUACCAUGUGUUACUUCACCACAAUUUCAGGAGGAGCUUAGCUUAAUACUAUGAUUAAGGGCAAUACAGUGUUAUGGACACUAAGAUACAAAUAUGGAUGGGGUAUUUUGGAAGGCAAAGGAGGGGAAUUAAAUUUUAUUGGUGGAAAGCAAUGUCAGAAAAAAGCAUCUUGCAAUUUAACUUUUAAGGAAGCAACAAAGUAAACAUCAGAGAGUAAUGAACAGAAAAUUGGAUUAAAAAGAGAAAAAUACCUAAUGCAUGCGGGGUUUAAAACCUAGAUGACGGGUUGAUAGGUACAGCAAACCACCAUG
rnacentral:lncRNA from 1 species